UACAGAGGUCCCAAGCGUUGUUCGGAUUCACUGAGCGUAAAGGGUGCGUAGGUGGUGAGGUAAGUCGGAUGUGAAAGCUCGGAGCUCAACUCCGAAAUGGCAUUGGAAACUACCUUGCUCGAGGGUUGGAGGGGGGACUGGAAUUCUCGGUGUAGCAGUGAAAUGCGUAGAUAUCGAGAGGAACACCAGUGGCGAAGGCGAGUCCCUGGACAACUCCUGACACUGAGGCACGAAAGCUAGGGGAGCAAACAGG
rnacentral:rRNA from 1 species